rnacentral:rRNA from 1 species
GACGAACGCUGGCGGCGUGCUUAACACAUGCAAGUCGAACGCGCCUGUCCUCUGGGUUUCUGGGGGGUGGGUGAGUGGCGAACGGGUGAGUAACACGUGAGUAACCUGCCCCCUUCUUCGGGAUAACGGUCUGAAAGGGCUGCUAAUACCGGGUAUUCACUGGUCUCCGCAUGGGGUCUGGUGGAAAGGUUUUUUUCUGGUGGGGGAUGGGCUCGCGGCCUAUCAGCUUGUUGGUGGGGUGAUGGCCCACCAAGGCUUUGACGGGUAGCCGGCCUGAGAGGGUGACCGGUCACAUUGGGACUGAGAUACGGCCCAGACUCCUACGGGAGGCAGCAGUGGGGAAUAUUGCACAAUGGGCGCAAGCCUGAUGCAGCGACGCCGCGUGAGGGAUGGAGGCCUUCGGGUUGUGAACCUCUUUCGCCCGUGGUCAAGCCGCGACAUGGGUCGUGGUGAGGGUAGUGGGUAAAGAAGCGCCGGCUAACUACGUG